CUGGCUUCAAUUCCUUUUCUUAGCAAUCCCACAAGACUUUAACUUCACGCUACUGAUCUCCAUUGUUCUCUCGCCUUCUCCAUUCCUCAUUCUCAACUCAUUGUUUGAUUAUAUUCUGGUGGAAUCUUCAUGUUGCUGGUAGCUUUUGUAUAUGCAUGUGGUUAUUCUUUCAGAAUAUUCAAUGCAAGCAUUCUGAAUUAUCAUUAGGAAAAAACUGAUAUUGACAAGUGAAGAACUUUGUUGCAGCAAAGGUACUUGUCACAUGGAAAAGGGAUCUUGGAACCUCAAGCUUUUGGUUGAAUUGGAAGCCAAAAUGUCAAAAAGAAACUACAUGAUGAUGAUUUUCCUGAAAUCCACUCAGGUAAUUGGGUUUUGUGUUUCUUAAAAGCCUAUGUGUGGGGAUACUACUAUGAUUUGUUAUACUAGGAAGCGAUUGUUCUCUACCCCCGCGUUGCACUUGCCAUUUGUAGCCUGUGUCGGGCAAUAUGUUUGUAUGUGAAGAUUUUACAGUUGAUUUUUCAGCAUCCUUGCAUCAAUUCAUAGUCUAACUAUUACAGAAACAGGACAUUUUAGCUAUAUAUGUCAUUCUAACCAAAAAUUAGUUUAUUGGGUUUUCUUCUAUUUAGUGUAUGAAAUAUGUAGCAACUAAAUCAAAUUUUGUGCGAAGAACAUAUUGAUGUAGGAGAGGACCCUAAAUGCUUUUAUGGUUUAGCACCAGUUCAUAAGAUAUUAAUUCUCAAGGUAAUUUUCGUCCCUUCACUGCUUGCAAGGUUGGCUGAUAUUUCCAAAGCACUUCUAUGAUUAAUAGAAGAAAUAAUUUGUUGCAGGGAAUGAAUUCUGAAUUUGAUGCUCUUGUCCAAAAUAAAACUUGGACUUUGGUGCCGCCUCCUCCAAAUGCAAAUAUUGUUGGCAACAAAUGGGUGUUUCAGAUUAAGUUUUGUGCAAAUGGUUCUGUUGAAAGAUAUAAAGCUCGUUUAGCGGAUCAAGGUUUUUCGCAGCAGCCGAGGGUUGACUAUUUUGAGACUUUUGCAUAUUCAUUCAGAAGAAAGAUGCUUUACUAAUUGGAUAUGCGACUCAGCAUGUGAAAUACACAUUAUUGUCAUUUUGCUCUAAUCAGGCUAUAUGUUUACAGUUGGAGAUUUCCACAGGGACCAAAACUAGUCUUUACUGGAAAAUUCCAUUUAUAUUGGGUCUAUUGCACUGAUUUGUUCAUUGUUGGGAUAGGUACUUCAGUGUCAAUUCACUUCUACUUUUCUCUUUGUCCGAGGAAAUUCAAUUUUUGUUUUAUGCAUCAUUAUUUGUUAUUUGGCUUAGAAGAGUGAAUCUAAUGCUAUAUUUUGUGCUUUUAUAGCUGAACAACUUGUGACAAGAUAAUUACUCUUAUACUAUCAUGACUUCUUUGGUGAGGCUGCUGAAUAUGAUGAAUCUGAAGAUUUGGAAGAUGUUAUCAAAGAAGAUGGAGAUGAGGAUGAAGACAAGUGGUGAUGGAAAGGUAAGAUUUGUUCUGCUUGCUUUUACAAAGUCAUUUACAAAUUUCCACUUAUCUAAGCGGAGAUGUUUCAGCGAAAGAGGGUUCUUGGAUUUCACACUCUAUUAUCAAGGUAAAAAUUAAUAUGUUGUCUAAAUUCGGGAUGUAAGAGGUGCUAAUUAUCAAUAAAGUAUUAAAGUACGAUUAACAAUAUA